rnacentral:piRNA from 1 species
UGUGCUUUGUAAAAUUUCGGUGUUGGG